rnacentral:tRNA from 1 species
CACUGUGAAGCUGAAAGCGUUAACCUUUUAAGUUAAAAUUAGAGAUUUCCCUUAAUCUCCACAGUGA